GUCUACGGCCAUGCCACCCUGAACGUGCCCGAUCUUGGCUGAUCUUGGAAGCUAAGCAGGGUCGGGCCUGGUUAGUGCUGGGAUGGGAGACAACCUAAGAGUACCAGGUGCUGUAGGCA
rnacentral:rRNA from 1 species